rnacentral:rRNA from 1 species
UACGGAGGUGGCAAGCGUUACUCGGAUUUAUUGGGUGUAAAGGGCGUGUAGGCGGUCAUGCAAGUCGAACGUGAAAUCCCACGGCUUAACCGUGGAACUGCAUUCGAAACUGCACGACUUGAGUAUGGGAGAGGAAAAUGGAAUUCCCGGUGUAAGGGUGAAAUCUGUGGAUAUCGGGAGGAACACCAGUGGCGAAGGCGAUUUUCUGGCCCAUAACUGACGCUGAGAAGCGAAAGCGUGGGGAG